GUACAGAGGGGGCAAGCGUUGUUCGGAAUUACUGGGCGUAAAGCGUGCGCAGGCGGUGAUGUAAGACAGGUGUGAAAUCCCCGGGCUUAACCUGGGAACUGCAUUUGUGACUGCAUCGCUGGAGUGCGGCAGAGGGGGAUGGAAUUCCGCGUGUAGCAGUGAAAUGCGUAGAUAUGCGGAGGAACACCGAUGGCGAAGGCAAUCCCCUGGGCCUGCACUGACGCUCAUGCACGAAAGCGUGGGGAGCAAACAGG
rnacentral:rRNA from 1 species